GGUUGCUUUAAAUCUUGACUUCCUCAAUCGACUCUCCAAUUCCUCUAUCUCCCUUUCCAGUUCCUCCCCCUCCUCGGAGAAAGAACUAAGAUCCUCAUCACCCUUUUCUGAAGCAGGGACCUGAAGGCGCCUCUUUGCUUUACCAUUUAAGUCUUGCAGGGGACCUUCGUCCUUCAGAGACGCAGCCAUCUGCUCUUCCUGAACCUCAGUGAGGGCUUGCUCGCACUCGGCAAGCUGUUCCUUAAUCUUUACUUUGUCAGUUAAAAGAGCAUGCUUUACCAAUCUCCAUAGAGAGAAAGUAGCAAUUGGGACUCUAUCCGGAUCCUGGUCUCUCAACAACUUUUGGAGGUCCUGUUUCACCAAAUCCCAAUCGCUGUUAUGGAGAAAGCCUCCUGUCAGAAACCAAGGACAAGCCCGGGCUAUAGUUUCAACGAAUUCGGUUGCUGUCUUGGUUUUAAUUCCUGUCCCUUGUUUGUUUAACAGCUCUUUAACCUCGUUGGCCAGACGAAGUUUCGCUGUUGAGUUACCCAUGUUAACGGAUAUGCUGAAGUGUCAAGAGUCAUUCGUGGGCUGUGUGGACUACAUCACAAUCACAGCCUAAUGAAUAGGAAAAUCCAGUGUCUGGGAACUACCAGUGGACAUUUCCUCUGAUUGACUGCCCAGACACAUUGUGAGUCCUAUCCAAGCUCUGCCAAAGGUCCCACACAGCACUGGAGAUGGGGUGACCUGCCAAGAUGCCAAUCAACCUGCUGACUGCAAGACAUCAUGGAGCAAGACUCCACUCCUGAAACCUUAUCCUUGCCUUUGAUGUACCCCCUUAAAUAAACCAUGGGAGCCAUUUUCUAAUCAUCUAGCUCCAGCUCCUAUGUGGACUGGACCUAUCAGGGCUCCAUCUUUAAAAUUGUCUUUUCUGACUUUGUCUUUUGUUUUUCACUAAUUAUUCUAGACUUUAAUUUCUUAGGUGGGUUACACGAUCCUGAGCGGGGAGAAGAACCCCCCUAAGGAGACACUAGAUGCCUCCAGAUACUGAACCCUUGUUACUUUCAUACUAAAAUGAUAGAAUAUUUGGUUGAUCUAGGUACCAAAUUUCUACUUACAUUAUAAGAAGUAAAUAAAUAAGAAUUUCAUUGUUAUGCAUUCUCUUGUGGGCAAUUGCAAACUUUAUGAAAAUAUAAUGUUUUGUUUUAUUUUUUUUGCUACCAAAGAUAGAAAGCCUAUCAGAAUGUCUGGCAUAUAAUUAUUUUUAACAUCUUUAUUGAGUUAAAAACUAUAGUUUGAUACAUUUUGAUAUAUAUAGAAACUUGAGAAAUCAUCACCAAAAUAUGGAUAAUAAAAAUAUCCACAUCCUCAAAAUAGUCCUUAUGCCCCUUUAUCAAACCUCCUACCUGUUCCCCCACCUUAUUCCCAUACAAUCACUGACCUAUUUUCUGUUACUAUAGAUUCACUUGUAUUUUCCAGAAUUUUAUAUAAGUGGAAUCAUACAAUAUGAUUUGUUUUCUGUCCGCAGCUCCAUAGUUUUCCUCAACAGACCAAAAGAUUCCCUAUAGUUUCUGAUUUAUUAUUUGCUUUCCUGCAAACAGACAUUUAUCUGAGCCUGCACUCAUAGUGUGGGAAAUACCCCCCAAAUAAAAAUAAUGCCUCAAAGGAACUGAGUAGCUUCAGUUCCAGGAACAUCCAGGAACAGACAAGAACAUCUCAUUAAAUUUUCUAAAAAAAAAUUUACGUGAGUAACAGAAUUACUUAGGUUCAGGGGUCAAAGAGAUGUUUCAAAUUGCCAGUGUUUUCUAAUUCUUAGACAAUGACUCAUUAAAGGGCCUUGAAAUUAAUGUAGGGUUCUCUCUGUGUUAAAAAUAACAAAGUUGAAAAUGCCAGGAUGCAUUUUACUUUG
ensembl:lincRNA